rnacentral:miRNA from 15 species
UUAGGGUGGGGUAAGGUACUGC